GGGGGUAGUUUUUAGUACGUAUGCGCCAGGGAUGGCGGAUCGUGCAUGCUGCUACUAAGAAUCAGCAGUAUCUUUUGAAGAUUUUCUACCUCC
rfam:Glossina pallidipes unplaced genomic scaffold Scaffold257, whole genome shotgun sequence.